UAUAUAUACUCACUUGGAUUACAAACCCUGACAUUGUAAUGUUAUAGUUCAACACAUCAAUCUAUCUCGACGCAGAACGUGUCGUUUGGAUGCGCAGUGGACACUCUGAAUACCAUUCUUGGAUCAACAUCGUACCCAGGGCUUCUGCGCAACGGCUCUGGGUAUACGAGGUUGUACAUUGAUCAUUCCCCUUAUUACGUUUUCGUAGCGCUUUGCAUUGUGGUUAUAGUGGUAUCACUGAUAAAGAUAGCGGCCUCGAAUGAAAAUAUUGAAUGUUUUCGCGAAUAUUUUGCUGUUGGCUAUCGCGCACCUGACCCUAGCUUUUUUUAAAAGUUCUUGCACUGGUCAGGACAAAAAAUAAGCCAUCUUGAAUAUCAGUGAUACCACUAUAACCACAAUGCAAAGCGCUGCGAAAACGUAAUAAGGGGAAUCUAGUAUUGGAUACCAACGUUAUUAAACAAGCGCACUACAUAGUGUCUAAAAAGUGAACCUUUAGAAAUUGCCUUAUUAGAGACGGACAAGUGGUCCCUCUUUUAAUCGUAAUCACAGACGGACAAUUAAGUAGUCGAACAACUUCAGAUGACUAGUUGUUCGUCUAAAAUUUUGUCCGACACGUUUUCACAUCUGAUGAUUUGUCCGACUAAGAGACGAUUUUAAGACGAUUUGUUCGUCUAAACAAAAACGACUUGUCCGUCUUUUAAUGUGACAACGGCUAAUUGCUGUUUUCGAAUUUAAUUCGUUGAAGGCCAUUACAUAAAGUAACGGAGUGUCAACUUAGCUACCACGAUAAUCGUCUUUCCAUUCACAGUUGAGCACCUACACGCGUAAAAAUCUCAUUUGCCAACGAAGAUGUGUUCGCACUGCUUGUUCCCAGUUGUUG